GCCGGAUUAGCUCAGUGGUAGAGCAACUGCCUCGUAAUCAGUAGGUCGUAAGUUCGAUUCUUAUAUCCGGCACCA
rnacentral:tRNA from 1 species